rnacentral:ncRNA from 1 species
CCAGGAUGAAGUCAGGGGAAACCCUGAUGGAGGUCCGCAGCGAUUCUGACGUGCAAAUCGAUCGUCUGAGCUGGGUAUAGGGGCGAAAGACUAAUCGAACCAUCUAGUAGCUGGUUCCAUCCGAAGUUUCCCUCAGGAUAGCUGGCGCCGAUGUGUCCCGCCCGUUCGCGGGCGUACGGACGCCGGUGGGACUCCGCGCUGUACGGCGCGGUAACAACACGCUCGUAACACGGAGGAUGUCUCAUACGGUAAAGCGAAUGAUUAGAGGACAUUGGGGCCGAAACGACCUCAACCUAUUCUCAAACUAUAAAUGAGUGAGAUCGCCGGCUUUACCUGGUACACCGCGUGAACCGCGUGCGAAGCCGGCGACGGAACCCUAGGCGCUUAGUGGGCCAUUUUUGGUAAGCAGAACUGGCGCUGCGGGAUGAACCGAACGCCGAGUUAAGGCGCCGAAAUCGACGCGUAUUCAGAGACCAUGAAAGGCGUUGGUUGCUGAUGACAGCAGGACGGUGGCCAUGGAAGUCGGAAUCCGCUAAGGAGUGUGUAACAACUCACCUGCCGAAGCAACUAGCUCUGAAAAUGGAUGGCGCUGGAGCGUCGUGCCUAUACUCGGCCGUCGACGGCAUAGUGGGGCCAGUCGUCGCUCGCGGCGGCCGGUCCCGGCAAGCCUCGACGAGUAGGAUGGCGCGGCGGUGUGCGUCGAAGGGCAGGUCGCGAGACCGCCUGGAGCCGCCGUCGGUGCAGAUCUUGGUGGUAGUAGCAAAUACUCGAGAGGGGCCCUCGGGGGCUGCCGUGGAGAAAGGGUUUCUUGUGAACAGCCGUUGUCCAAGAGUCAGUCGAUCCUAAGCCCGGGGAGAGAUCCUCGUACCACGGGCGAAGGCGUUUUCGAAUCGCCCUUGGGGCGAGAGGGAAUCCGGGUUCGUAUUCCGGAACCCGACGCGGAACCGCUCCCUAGUGUUCGGGGCUCUUUUGUCUCGUCUGGGUAACCAGAAUGAACUCGAAGAGCCGCCGGGGGAUCUGGGUAGAGU